rnacentral:rRNA from 1 species
GAGUUUGAUCGUGGCUCAGGAUGAACGCUGGCGGCGUGCCUAACACAUGCAGGUCGAACGGAGUUUAUGAGGAAGAAGCUUCGGCGGAAUUCUUAUAAACUUAGUGGCGGACGGGUGAGUAACACGUGGAGAACCUGCCUCUUACCGGGGGACAGCAGUUGGAAACGACUGAUAAUACCGCAUAAGCGCACGAGACCGCAUGGUCCUGUGUGAAAAGAUUUAUCGGUAAGAGAUGGCUCCGCGUCUGAUUAGCCAGUUGGCGGGGUAACGGCCCGACCAAAGCGACGAUCAGUAGCCGGCCUGAGAGGGUGAACGGCCACAUUGGGACUGAGACACGGCCCAGACUCCUACGGGAGGCAGCAGUGGGGGAUAUUGCACAAUGGAGGAAACUCUGAUGCAGCGACGCCG